UGAUUAAAUUAAGGGUUUUCAGACAGGGAAAUUAUCCUGGAUCAUCCGGUGGGCCCCAAUGGAAUCACAAAGGUCCUGAUAAGAGGGAGGGAAUAAGAUCAGAGAGGAAAAAAGGCAAUCUGAGGACCAAGCAGAGAGGAGUGUGAUUAUACUCAGCUGCUGGCUUUAAAGAUUCAGGGAGCCUUUAGAAGAUGGAAAAGGUGAGAAAACGCAUUCUCUCCUAAAGCUACCAGAGGACACCUAGCCUUGUCAACUCCUUGCUUUUGACCCAGUAAAACUCGCUUUGGACUUUGGAUCUCCAGAAAUGAUUGACACUGCAUGACAAGAAAAGUCCACGUGAGAACAGAGAGAGAAGGUAGCCAUUUACAAAUUAAGAAGAAAGGCCUCAGGAGAAACCAAACCUACUGACACCUUGACAUGGGGUCUUCCAGCCUCCAAAAUUGAGCAAACGAAUUUCUGUUGUUUCAGGCACCCAGUCUCUGGCAUUUUCUUAUAGCAGCCCCAGCACACUAAAGUACUAAGGAACUUCCUUUCGUGUUUUCUAGUGUAUGUCUGCCAGAGAUUAAGUCUUAAACAUAUCAUCCAUUUCAUACAUACAACUUUUGUUUGUAUGAAAAAUUCUUUAUCUCCCCUUCAUUUUCAAAAUAUAUUUUUGUUGGUUAAAGAAUUAUGGAUAGAAACUUUUUUCUUUUUCCUUAAGUACUUUAAAAUUAUUGUUCCAUUGUCUUAUGGUUUGCAUAAUUUUUGAUUAUCUGUGUUUCUCUGUAUAAAAUGUUUCUUUUUCUCUAGCUACUUUUUUUUUUUUUUUUGAGGAAGGUUAGCCCUGAGCUAGCAUCCAUGCCCAUCUUCCUCUGUUUUAUAUGUGGGACACAUGUCACAGCAUGGCUUGAUAAGUGGUGUGCAGGUCUGUGUGAUCUGAUCUGGUGAACCCCUUGCUACUGAAGCAGAGGGCAUGAAUUUAACCACUACACCACCAGGCUGGCUGCUCUCUGGCUGCUUGCAACAUAUGCUUGGGCCAGUCCCAGUGGCCUAGUGGUUAAGUUUGGUGUGCUCAACUUCAGCAUCCCAGGUUCAGUUCCCGGGUGUCGACCUAUACAACUUGUCUCUCAGUGGCCAUGCUAUGGCAGUGGCUCACACAAAAAAGAGGAAGAUUGGCAGUGGAUGUUAGCUCGGAGCAAAUCUUCUCCAGACCAAAAAAAAAAGCUUUUUCUCUUCAUCAUCCAUUUUAAGCAAUUUGUGCUGCCCUUGGUGAAGUUUUCUUUGUGUUAAUACUACUUGAGGUUUGUUGAACUUCUUGGACCUAUGGGUUCAUAAUUUAUAUCAAAAGUAGAAAAUUUUCAGCAUUAUUUCUUCAAAUAUCUUUUCCAUACCUCCCUCCUUUACUACAACCCCACUUGUAUUUUCAUUAGACUUCUUAAUAUUGUCCACAUGUCACUGAUGCUCUGUUGUAUCCCUGAAGUUGAAUUUUUCUUUCUUGCUUCACUUUCAAGUGUUUCUAUGCUGUAUCUUCGACAUCACUAAUAUUUUCUUUUGCAGAGUCUAAUCUGCUCUUAAUAUCUUCCUGCUUUGGAUUUCUUUAUAUCUUCCAUUUCUCUCCUCAGGAUGAUUCUAUUUUCUUCUACUUUCUUGAACAUACGGAGCAUAUGUAUAAGAGCUGUCUUAACAUUCUUAUCUUUUAAUUGUAUUGCCUCAGUUUUUUGUGAGUUUUCUAUUGAGUUUUUUCCUCCAAUUUAUUGAUUCUAUAUUCUUGCUUCUUUGCAUACCUGUUAAUUUUUUAUUGGAUAAAUUACAUUGUAUACGAUAUGAUUUUGAUUGCUGUCAGGUGGAGACACAAAAUAUCCCCGGUCCUGUUGUGGCCCCCGAAAUUAGCUGAUCUAUUGCUUUUGGGUGAUUCUUUCUUCAGUCUUGGGUAAUUUCUUCUUGUGAAUGUAUAGACCAUUACUUGCCGAGGAAACCCUUACGCAGAUCUCCGGAGCUCCCGCUGUGUGCAGUUUCAGCCUCUCUGAUACUCUGACGGAAGUCUAGCUCCUUGGCCUCCCCAAGCAUGAUUCUCUUUCUCUUCUACUCUAUAAAAUUGUCAGGUUCUAUUUGUGUGCCCCAUCUCUAUGCUGUGGCCUGGAAACUUCCCCUAGGCAGUAAUGUGGAGCAGUUGAAUAG
rnacentral:lncRNA from 1 species